UACGUAGGGGUGCGAGCGUUAAUCGGAAUUACUGGGCGUAAAGCGUGCGCAGGCGGUUUUGUAAGACAGAUGUGAAACUCCCCGGGCUCAACCUGGGGAAUGGCGAUGGUGACUGCAAGGCUAGAGUUUGGCAGAGGGGGGUAGAAUUCCACGUGUAGCAGUGAAAUGCGUAGAUAUGUGGAGGAACACCGAUGGCGGAAGGCAGCCCCCUGGGUCAAAACUGACGCUCA
rnacentral:rRNA from 1 species